AUUCCCAAAAAAUUCCCACAUAAUUCCAGAAUAAUUCCCAAAUAAUUCCCAAAUAAUUCCCAAAUAAUUCCAGAAUAAUUCCCAAAUAAUUCCCAAAUAAUUCCCAAAUAAUUUAAAAAAAAUUCCCAAAUAAUUCCUGAAUAAUUCCCAAAAAAUUCCCAAGUAAUUCCCAAAUAAUUUAAUAAAAAUUCCCAAAUAAUUCCCCAAUAAUUCCCAAAUAAUUCCCAAAAAAAUUCCCGAAUAAUUCCAGGUUCAUUCCGGAUCCAAUCCCAGGCUGGGAAUGGAGGGAAUUCCCUGGGAAAACGGGGAGGGAUUUGGGAUUUGGGAAGUAAAUCCUGGGGUAUCCCAAAAAAGAAAACCCAAAUCCCAGAAAAUCCCUGGAUUUCCUUUCCCAGAAUUCCAUAAAAACCCUCGGGAUGGAUCCGGAGCCUCCUGGAUCCCGGAAUCCCGGAAUUCCUCGGGAUGGGAUCCACGGAUUCCCAACCCCAUCCCAUUCCCAACCCCAUCCCAUUCCCACCAAUCCCAUCCCGCUCCGGCUUUUCCUUGGAUGCUCCCAGGAAUUCCGGCUUUUCCCACGGGAAUUCCAUUUCCUGUGGGAAUUCCAGGUUUUUCCCCGCAGGAAUUCCGGCUUUUCCCACGGGAAUUCUGCCUCUCCCCACGGGAAUUCCGCCUUUUCCCGCAGGAAUUCCGGCUUUUCCCGUGGGAAUUCCGUCUUUUCCAGAGGAAUUCCAUCUUUUCUCAGGGAAUUUCCACCUUUUCCCGUGGGAAUCACACUUUUUUCCGUAGGAAUUCCACCCAUUCCAAUGGGAAUUUCCACCUUUUUCCAGAGGAAUUCCGGCUUUUCCCUCAGGAAUUCCGGCUUUUCCUGUGGGAAUUUCGUCUUUUCCCAUGGGAAUUCUGCCUCUCCCCGUGGGAAUUUCCACCUUUUCCCGUGGGAUUUCUGCUUUUCCUGCGGGGAAUUCCGCCUUUUCCUGCGGGGAAUUCCUUUUCCCUUGGGAAUUCUGCCUCUCCCUGUGGGAAUUCCAGCUUUUCCCCAUGGGAAUUCCGGCUUUUCCCAUGGGAAUUCCACCCUUCCCCAAAGGAAUUCCAUCUUUUCCUUCAGGAAUUCCGGCUCUUCCCAUGCAAAUUCCGUCUCUCCCCUCGGGAAUUCCGGCUCUCCCCGCAGGAAUUCCGCCUUUUUCUGUGGGAAUUCAACCUUUUCCCACGGGAAUUCCACCAUUCCCGGCAGGAAAUUCCUUUUCCCUCAGGAAUUCCGCCUUUUCCCGUGGGAAUUCCGCCUUUUCCCUCAGGAUUUCCACCAUUUCCAGCAGGAAAUUCCUUUCCCUUUGGGAAUUCGGCCUUUUCCCUCGGGAAUUCCGGCUGUCCCCUCGGGAAUUCCGGCUGUCCCCGUGGGAAUUCCGGCUGUCCCCUCAGGAAUUCCGGCUGUCCCCGCAGGAAUUCCGUCUCUCCCCGCGGGAAUUCCGGCUGUCCCUGCAGGAAUUCCGUCUCCCCCCUCGGGAAUUCCGGCUGUCCCCUCGGGAAUUCCGUCUCUCCCCUCGGGAAUUCCGUCUCUCCCCUCGGGAAUUCCGUCUCUCCCCUCGGGAAUUCCGUUUGUCCCUGCAGGAAUUCCGGCUGUCCCCGCACCUGGUGGCCCCGGGUUUGAGCCCCAGCGUGUCCCAGCUGUCCUUGCUGCUGCGGAUCCUGCGGAUGGCCUCCGCCUGCUCCCGCGUGAAGCCAAUCCCGGGGCCGCCCGCCGGCCGCUUCCCGCCGUUCUCGCACAGAUCCAGCAGGGCCGAGUAGAAAGUCUGGGAAUUCCGGCGUUCCGGAAGGUUCCCGUCCCUUCUUGCCUGCCUGCCCGGCUCCCGCUGCUCCCACGCGGAUUCCCGACGGGAAUUCCCACCCGGGAAACCCCCUGGAUUGAUCUCAUCCAUCCCCACAUCCCAAAUUCCCACCCAAUUUCCACAUUCCCAAUCCCUAAUCCCCACAUUCCCAAUUCCUCAAUCCCCACAUUCCCAAAUCCCCAAUCCCCAGUUCCCAGCC
ensembl:lncRNA